rnacentral:rRNA from 1 species
AGUGAACGCUGGCGGUAGGCCUAACACAUGCAAGUCGAACGGCAGCACAGUAAGAGCUUGCUCUUACGGGUGGCGAGUGGCGGACGGGUGAGGAAGACAUCGGAAUCUACUUUUUCGUGGGGGAUAACGUAGGGAAACUUACGCUAAUACCGCAUACGACCUACGGGGGAAAGCAGGGGAUCUUCGGACCUUGCGCGAUUGAAUGAGCCGAUGUCGGAUUAGCUAGUUGGCGGGGUAAAGGCCCACCAAGGCGACGAUCCGUAGCUGGUCUGAGAGGAUGAUGCGCCACACUGGAAGUGAGACACGGUCCCGACUCCUACGGGAGGCCGCAGUGGGGAAUAUUGGACAAUGGGGGCAAGCCUGAUCCAGCCAUACCGCGUGGGUGAAGAAGGCCUUCGGGUUGUAAAGCCCUUUUGUUGGGAAAGAAAAGCAGCAGGUUAAUACCCCGCUGUUCUGACGGUACCCAAAGAAUAAGCACCGGCUAACUUCGUG